UGAGGUAUUCAGCUGCAAUUUCUUUUCAGCAAACUCGUUAACUGACUUUUCUAGACAGUCACUGCUUGUCAUUAUUUGUGACAAGGGAGUUUUGAAAACUGUUCUGUGAGCUAGUGGUAGAAAGUACUUCAAAUGUACAUUAAAAGUACCUCCUCAUUUGUUUUACAAAGAAAAUCCUAGCAAUAGCUCAGCUGAAAUUUAAUAACUGCCUGGUUUCCCUGCUGUUGCUGGUCUCAUCCAAAGGCAAUGGCUGGGGGAUGAAUGGAUUGAGAGAAACCCUGUGGAGAAGAACUUGGGGGUGCUGGUGGAUGAAAAUUUGGACAUGAGCUGGCAGUGUGUGCUUGGAGAUUAGGAAGUAUCCUGGUCUGCAUCCAGAGCAGUGUGGGUGACAAAAGUCAAGGGAGCUGAUUCUGCCCCUGUGCUCUCCACUCCGGUGAGACUCCACCCUGAGUACUGCAUCCUGCUUGGGAUCCUCAGCAGAAGAAAGCCAUGGACCUGUUGGUUUGAAAUGAAAGGAGGGGAGAUUCAGACUAGCUAUCAAUGAGAGCAGGAGUCCAAGGACAAGCAACAAGAUUGAUUGAUUCCCUUCCUUGACAGUUCAGGACCAGAACCACUAACACAUGCUGCAGAGAAGCUCACUGUGCACAUCUUUGAUCCACAUUGUGUACAUAAGUGUAGCAUGUUCAUAAACUAAGGGAGUAGGAUAUUGUUGACCUGAAUGCCACUGAAAGCACUUGCACUCACAAAAAAUAUAAUGAUCUCUGUUUAAUAAAGCCACACAUGACUUGCAUAAACUGGAGCUGAAAAUUUAGGAUUGCAAAAUUCUAGCAUAUUCUGAAUUGAAAGGAUCCCACACGAGGAUCAUCCAAUCCAACUCCUGGCCCUCCACAGCACUAUCCCCAAGAGUUACACCAUGUACCUGAGAGUGCUGUCCAGAAGCUUCUUGAGCUCUGUCAAGUUUGAUGUUGUGACCAUUUCCCUGGGGAGCUGCUCCAGUGCCCAACCACCCUUUGGGUGAAGAACUGUUUUCUAAUAUCCAACCCAAACCUCCUCUGACACAACUUCAGGCCAUUCCCUGGGGUCCUGUCAGUGUCACCACAGAGAAGAGAUCAGUGUCUGCCCUUCCUCUUCCCUUCCUUGAGGAAGCUGUAACUGCAGUGAGGUCUCCCCUCAGUCUCCUCCAGGCUGACCAGACCACUCCAGGCCCUCAGCCACUCCUCACACACCUUCCCCUGAAGGCCCUUCACCGUCUUUAUUGUUCUCCUUUGGACAUUCUCUAAUAGUUUAAUGUCUUCCUUUUAUUGUGGCACCCAAAACUGUCCGCAGAACUUUAAGUGAGACCACCCCAGUGCAGAGCAGAGCUGGAGAAUUCCCUCCGUUGCCCGGCUGGUGAUGCUGUGCCUGAUGCCCCCAGGACAGGGAUGUCCUUCCUGGCUGCCAGGGAACUGCUGACUCUUGUUCAACUUCCUGUUGACCAGGACCCCCAGGUCCCUUUCCGUGGUGCUGCUUUCCAGCAUCUCAUUCCCCAGGCUGUCUAUAUAUCCAGAGCUGCCCCAUCCCAGGUGAAGAAUCUAGAACUUUUCCUUGUUCCAUUCAUAUGGUUAGUGAUUUCCCAGUCCUCUCAUUUCUCGAGGUCUCUCUGCAGGGCCUCUCUGCCUUCAAGGGAGUCAACAGCUCUUCCCAAAUUUUUGUCAUCUGAAAACUUACUUAGUGUACUAUGGGUAUAUAAGGGUCUGCAUAGCAAAAAUAACUUGAAAAGAUUAUUUGGGGCAAUAUUGAAAGAGUAAGGCAUGUCCCUCCUGACCAAGACUGUCACAAGCAGCAGCAUACAAUAGAGGACUAGGCAAGGAGCCCGCAGCCUGAGAUCAAAUCCUUCUGUUCUUGAUCUGCUCAGCAGAGUGAAGAGGUCAGUGCUUCUCUUUGUUUCCCUUCCCACUGAAGUUCUUGGUUUCUCCUUUCUGUGUUUUGACCUUUUUGCCACCUUUGACUUUUAUCUCUUUGGAGCCAGACCAUCUUUCCCAUAAAGUUUAGUAGAAUGUGUCUCUGGGUCUUUGUGUGAGACUUUAGACACUUUAGGCCGCAAUUAUAAUUUGGCAGGAAGGAAAUGAAUUUCUUUCUUAGGCAGGGAAA